AGUGAACGCUGGCGGUAGGCCUAACACAUGCAAGUCGAACGGCAGCACAGUAAGAGCUUGCUCUUACGGGUGGCGAGUGGCGGACGGGUGAGGAAUACAUCGGAAUCUACUUUUUCGUGGGGGAUAACGUAGGGAAACUUACGCUAAUACCGCAUACGACCUACGGGUGAAAGCAGGGGAUCUUCGGACCUUGCGCGAUUGAAUGAGCCGAUGUCGGAUUAGCUAGUUGGCGGGGUAAAGGCCCACCAAGGCGACGAUCCGUAGCUGGUCUGAGAGGAUGAUCAGCCACACUGGAACUGAGACACGGUCCAGACUCCUACGGGAGGCAGCAGUGGGGAAUAUUGGACAAUGGGCGCAAGCCUGAUCCAGCCAUACCGCGUGGGUGAAGAAGGCCUUCGAGUUGUAAAGCCCUUUUGUUGGGAAAGAAAAGCGGCAGGUUAAUACCCCGCUGUUCUGACGGUACCCAAAGAAUAAGCACCGGCUAACUUCGUG
rnacentral:rRNA from 1 species